rnacentral:rRNA from 1 species
GACGAACGCUGGCGGCGUGCCUAAUACAUGCAAGUCGAGCGGAGUUUGUUGGAAAGCUUGCUUUCGAACAAACUUAGCGGCGGACGGGUGAGUAACACGUAGGCAACCUGCCUGCAAGACUGGGAUAACCUCCGGAAACGGAAGCUAAUACCGGAUACGCGAUCUUGUCACCUGACGAGAUCGGGAAAGGCGGCGCAAGCUGUCACUUGCAGAUGGGCCUGCGGCGCAUUAGCUAGUUGGUGGGGUAACGGCUCACCAAGGCGACGAUGCGUAGCCGACCUGAGAGGGUGAUCGGCCACACUGGGACUGAGACACGGCCCAGACUCCUACGGGAGGCAGCAGUAGGGAAUCUUCCGCAAUGGGCGAAAGCCUGACGGAGCAACGCCGCGUGAGUGAGGAAGGCCUUCGGGUCGUAAAGCUCUGUUGCCAGGGAAGAACGGGUGGAUGAGUAACUGCAUCCGCCAUGACGGUACCUGAGAAGAAAGCCCCGGCUAACUACGUGCCAGCCGCCGCAGU